GUCUGGUAUGAACGAACAUUUGGGUGACAACUGUCUAAAUUAAUUUUUCUAAACUUAGUUAGCAAGUGCAAAUACUUGUAUGUCUAUAAAAGACGAGAAGACCCUAGAAACUUGAAUAAUUUUUGUUGGGGCGACAGGAUUACAAAUAACUAAUCUUAAACAACGGGACGUAUUGCAGAAAGAAUAAGUUACUCUAGGGAUAACAGCAA
rnacentral:rRNA from 1 species